rnacentral:rRNA from 1 species
CCUACGGGUGGCAGCAGUGGGGAAUAUUGCUCAAUGGGGGAAACCCUGAUCCAGCGACGCCGCGUGAGUGAAGACGUAUUUCGGUACGUAAAGCUCUAUCUGCAGGGAAGAAAAUGACGGUACCUGACUAAGAAGCCCCGGCUAACUACGUGCCAGCAGCCGCGGUAAUACGUAGGGGGCAAGCGUUAUCCGGAUUUACUGGGUGUAAAGGGAGCGUAGACGGCAGAGCAAGUCUGAAGUGAAAGCCCGCGGCUCAACUGCGGGACUGCUUUGGAAACUGCCGAGCUAGAGUGCUGGAGAGGUAAGCGGAAUUCCUGGUGUAGCGGUGAAAUGCGUAGAGAUGAGGAGGAACACCAGUGGCGAAGGCGGCUUACUGGACAGUAACUGACGUUGAGGCUCGAAAGCGUGGGUAGCAAACAGGAUUAGAUACCCGAGUAGUC